rnacentral:tRNA from 1 species
GCGGUCUUCGUAUAGUGGUUAUUACGGCUCGUUGUGGAUUUGGUCUGUAUGGGCUGGUGAACUUGAGCCGAGCAAACGGAUGUUCGAUUCCUCCAGACCGCA